CCUACGGGAGGCAGCAGUGGGGAAUAUUGGGCAAUGGGCGCAAGCCUGACCCAGCAACGCCGCGUGACGGAAGAAGGCUUUCGGGUUGUAAACUUCUUUUCUCAGGGACGAAGCUAGUGACGGUACCUGAGGAAUACGCCCCGGCCAACUACGUGCCAGCAGCCGCGGUACUACGUGGGUGGCAAGCGUUAUCCGGAUUUACUGGGUGUAAGGGGCGUGUAGGCGGGAAAGCAAGUCAGAUGUGAAAACCAUGGGCUCAACCUGUGGCCUGCAUUUGAAACUGUUUUGCUUGAGUACUGGAGAGGCAGACGGAAUUCCUAGUGUAGCGGUGAAAUGCGUAGAUAUUAGGAGGAACACCAGUGGCGAAGGCGGUCUGCUGGACAGCAACUGACGCUGAGGCGUGAAGGCGUGGGGAGCAAACAGGAUUAGAUACCCGGGUAGUC
rnacentral:rRNA from 1 species